GUCGUACGCUUCUUUUUCCACCGGAGCUUGCUCCACCGGAAAAAGAAGAGUGGCGAACGGGUGAGUAACACGUGGGUAACCUGCCCAUCAGAAGGGGAUAACACUUGGAAACAGGUGCUAAUACCGUAUAACAAUCGAAACCGCAUGGUUUUGAUUUGAAAGGCGCUUUCGGGUGUCGCUGAUGGAUGGACCCGCGGUGCAUUAGCUAGUUGGUGAGGUAACGGCUCACCAAGGCCACGAUGCAUAGCCGACCUGAGAGGGUGAUCGGCCACAUUGGGACUGAGACACGGCCCAAACUCCUACGGGAGGCAGCAGUAGGGAAUCUUCGGCAAUGGACGAAAGUCUGACCGAGCAACGCCGCGUGAGUGAAGAAGGUUUUCGGAUCGUAAAACUCUGUUGUUAGAGAAGAACAAGGAUGAGAGUAACUGUUCAUCCCUUGACGGUAUCUAACCAGAAAGCCACGGCUAACUACGUGCCAGCAGCCGCGGUAAUACGUAGGUGGCAAGCGUUGUCCGGAUUUAUUGGGCGUAAAGCGAGCGCAGGCGGUUUCUUAAGUCUGAUGUGAAAGCCCCCGGCUCAACCGGGGAGGGUCAUUGGAAACUGGGAGACUUGAGUGCAGAAGAGGAGAGUGGAAUUCCAUGUGUAGCGGUGAAAUGCGUAGAUAUAUGGAGGAACACCAGUGGCGAAGGCGGCUCUCUGGUCUGUAACUGACGCUGAGGCUCGAAAGCGUGGGGAGCAAACAGGAUUAGAUACCCUGGUAGUCCACGCCGUAAACGAUGAGUGCUAAGUGUUGGAGGGUUUCCGCCCUUCAGUGCUGCAGCUAACGCAUUAAGCACUCCGCCUGGGGAGUACGACCGCAAGGUUGAAACUCAAAGGAAUUGACGGGGGCCCGCACAAGCGGUGGAGCAUGUGGUUUAAUUCGAAGCAACGCGAAGAACCUUACCAGGUCUUGACAUCCUUUGACCACUCUAGAGAUAGAGCUUCCCCUUCGGGGGCAAAGUGACAGGUGGUGCAUGGUUGUCGUCAGCUCGUGUCGUGAGAUGUUGGGUUAAGUCCCGCAACGAGCGCAACCCUUAUUGUUAGUUGCCAUCAUUUAGUUGGGCACUCUAGCAAGACUGCCGGUGACAAACCGGAGGAAGGUGGGGAUGACGUCAAAUCAUCAUGCCCCUUAUGACCUGGGCUACACACGUGCUACAAUGGGAAGUACAACGAGUCGCGAAGUCGCGAGGCUAAGCUAAUCUCUUAAAGCUUCUCUCAGUUCGGAUUGUAGGCUGCAACUCGCCUACAUGAAGCCGGAAUCGCUAGUAAUCGCGGAUCAGCACGCCGCGGUGAAUACGUUCCCGGGCCUUGUACACACCGCCCGUCACACCACGAGAGUUUGUAACACCCGAAGUCGGUGAGGUAACCUUUGGAGCCAGCC
rnacentral:rRNA from 1 species